CGGGGUGCAGCAGGCGCGAAAACUUUACAAUGCUGGCAACAGCGAUAAGGGGACCUCGAGUGCCAGGAUACAAUCUUGGCUGUCGCGAUGCCUAAAAAGCAUUGCAUAGCAAGGGCCGGGCAAGACCGGUGCCAGCCGCCGCGGUAACACCGGCGGCUCGAGUGGUAACCGCUAUUAUUGGGUCUAAAGGGUCUGUAGCCGGCCGGAUAAGUCUUUUGGGAAAUCCAGCUGCUCAACAGUUGGGCUUUCAGAAGAUACUGUUCGGCUCGAGACCGGGAGAGGUGAGAGGUACUUCAGGGGUAGGGGUGAAAUCUUGUAAUCCUUGAAGGACCACCAGUGGCGAAGGCGUCUCACCAGAACGGAUCUGACGGCAAGGGACGAAAGCUAGGGGCACGAACCGGAUUAGAUACCCGGGUAGUCCUAGCCGUAAACGAUACUCGCUAGGUGUCAGCCACGGUGCGACCGUGGUUGGUGCCGUAGGGAAGCCGUGAAGCGAGCCACCUGGGAAGUACGGCCGCAAGGCUGAAACUUAAAGGAAUUGG
rnacentral:rRNA from 1 species